AUGUUUAUGACUGGGGAAGGGGAGAGUAAGUUUAUUAAAGCUCCCAGUUUGCAUCCAGCUGGAAGGGACGGUAGAGGUUUUAAGCAGACGAAGAGGGGGAGAGGGGGAGGAAAGCCCAUUUGUGUCAUAAAUUCCAGGGCACUGCACUUCAACACGUUCGGGCAGGAAGGUGCCGUUUUAGGGGAGAGAACGGGAGAGGAGCUGGGCGCCGGUCUCGCACCCAGCCCCGGCAGCGCUGGAGCCGCGGCGGGUCCCGGCCAAGCCGUCCCGACAGGCUGCCUGAACAGCUCACCGGGGAAAUCUGCAUCUCUGCAGCAGAGAAAGUUUCCUCUUGUUUUAUUCAGUAGCAGGGCAGGGGACAAAAAACAAACAAACAAACAAAAAGCUUCGAUAUUAAUAGGGAAAAAAAGGCAGGAGCCCAACAGAGCCAACCGCAAACCUCCCAAGCUGAUUUUUUUUCUGAAGGCAUCCGCAGCCGUUGCAGUCCGUGCGAGGAUUACCGGGUUGAGGGCGCACAAAUCCGCCUGUUUGCGGGUUUCCUGCCCCCCGUCCUUCCCAGCCCGAACCCGAUUUUCUUGCCUUUCUGCUGUUUUCCCCCAGCGGUUUUUAUUUAACACAUCCGGUGGGAGCGGGCGGUUCGGAGGGAGCCGGAGUCUGUUUUCCAUUUCACAAUAUGGUCAUUGUUUACCGGCACAUGCCCGCCGCGCCGCCGGAGCGGCUGCCCGGGGCGCCGCGGCCCGUUCGGGCCCGAGCCCCGCUGACCCCCGGGGGAGGUGGGCGCUGUGUCCGUGUGUCCCGCGGCCGCCGUGUCCGUGUGUCCCGCAGCCGCCGUGUCCGUCUGUCCCGCGGCCGCCGUGUCCGUCCGUCCCGCGGCCGCUGUGCGGAGGCGCGCGGGCCGUGCCCGUGGCAAGAGCGCCGCUCGGUGGCCGCGGGGCCGCAGCGCAGCCGCGCUACCUGCGCGCCCCCGCCCCCGCCGCCGCGCCGCCGCCGCCGCCCCCGCCG
rnacentral:lncRNA from 1 species